rnacentral:miRNA from 1 species
GUGUGUGUAUAUAAUGCAGUGUGUUUGUGUGGUGUGUUUAUAUAAUGCGCACUACACAAACACACUGCAUUAUAUACACACAC